rnacentral:rRNA from 1 species
GACGAACGCUGGCGGCGUGCUUAACACAUGCAAGUCGAACGAUGAAGCUGGAGCUUGCUCUGGUGGAUUAGUGGCGAACGGGUGAGUAACACGUGAGUAACCUGCCCUGGACUCUGGGAUAACCCCGAGAAAUCGGAGCUAAUACCGGAUAGGACCUUGGAUCGCAUGAUCUGGGAUGGAAAGUUUUUCGGUCUGGGAUGGACUCGCGGCCUAUCAGCUUGUUGGUGAGGUAAUGGCUCACCAAGGCGUCGACGGGUAGCUGGCCUGAGAGGGUGACCGGCCACACUGGGACUGAGACACGGCCCAGACUCCUACGGGAGGCAGCAGUGGGGAAUAUUGCACAAUGGGCGCAAGCCUGAUGCAGCAACGCCGCGUGCGGGAUGACGGCCUUCGGGUUGUAAACCGCUUUUAGUAAGGAAGAAGCCGCAAGGUGACGGUACUUGCAGAAAAAGGACCGGCUAACUACGUGCCAGCCGCCGCAGUAACAC